rnacentral:rRNA from 1 species
UACGGGGGGGGGCAAGCGUUGUUCGGAAUUACUGGGCGUAAAGGGCUCGUAGGUGGCCAACUAAGUCAGACGUGAAAUCCCUCGGCUUAACCGGGGAACUGCAUCUGAUACUGGAUGGCUUGAGUUUGGGAGAGGGAUGCGGAAUUCCAGGUGUAGCGGUGAAAUGCGUUGAUAUCAGAAGGAACGCCGGCGGCGAAGGCGGGUCUCUGGGCAGUAACUGACGCUGAGGAGCGAAAGCGUGGGGGAGCGAACAGG